rnacentral:rRNA from 1 species
CCUACGGUAGGCAGCAGUGAGGAAUAUUGGUCAAUGGCCGUAAGGCUGAACCAGCCAAGUCGCGUGAAGGAAGAAGGAUCUAUGGUUUGUAAACUUCUUUUAUAGGGGAAUAAAGGUAUCCACGUGUGGAUAUUUGCAUGUACCCUAUGAAUAAGCAUCGGCUAACUCCGUGCCAGCAGCCGCGGUAAUACGGAGGAUGCGAGCGUUAUCCGGAUUUAUUGGGUUUAAAGGGUGCGUAGGUUGUUUUUUAAGUCAGCGGUUAAAGUUUGUGGCUCAACCAUAAAAUUGCCGUUGAAACUGGAAGACUUGAGUGUGUUUGAGGUAGGCGGAAUGCGUGGUGUAGCGGUGAAAUGCAUAGAUAUCACGCAGAACUCCGAUUGCGAAGGCAGCUUACUAAGCCAUAACUGACACUGAAGCACGAAAGCGUGGGGAUCAAACAGGAUUAGAUACCCUGGUAGUC